rnacentral:SRP_RNA from 1 species
UGUUUGGGUCUCACGCGACGGGAAUCUGUGAACCGUGUCAGGUCGGGAACGAAGCAGCACUAAGCAGAACCUUCCGGGUGCCGUGAGGGUGCCUGGGCUGAGU